GCCAGUGUGGCAUAGUGGUUUGAGUGUUGGACUACAACUCUGGAGACUAGGGUUGGAUCCCCCACUUGGCU